rnacentral:rRNA from 1 species
CUACGGGGGGCUGCAGUAAGGAAUAUUGCACAAUGGGGGAAACCCUGAUGCAGCAACGCCGCGUGGACGAAGAAGGCCUUCGGGUCGUAAAGUCCUUUUCUGAGGGAAGAGGAAGGACGGUACCUCAGGAAUAAGUCUCGGCUAACUACGUGCCAGCAGCCGCGGUAAAACGUAGGAGGCGAGCGUUAUCCGGAUUCACUGGGCGUAAAGGGCAAGUAGGCGGUUGUUUAAGUUAGGUGUGGCAUCUCUCGGCUUAACUGGGAGGGAGCGCUUAAAACUAGGCAACUAGAGGGCGGAAGAAGGGGGUAGAAAUCCAAAUGUAGCGGUGGAAUGCUCAGAUAUUUGGAAGAAUACCAGUGGCGAAGGCGACCCCCCGGUCCGUGCCUGACGCUGAGAGGCGAAAGCUAGGGUAGCGAACGGGAUUAGAUACCCUUGUAGUC